AGACUUCCCUCUAAAAUGCUCUCCCGCUCAGUGUGGAGCUCCGAGAGGCUAGCUGGAGUCUGUGUGCGACCUGGAAGGUUUGGAGCCAGCAUGAUUUAACUCAUUUGGUGGCAGCUGACCGGAGACUCUGGGGCCUAGCAGGAGAUGUUCAGGGGUGGACUUGCCGUGCCACGGAAUGAAAGCAAGCCUGGCCCCCUUCUCACUGAUUGAAAGACGGAGCCACUGACAGCCAUCUCCAGCAGCUUCCUUGCUGGCGGGCCUUCUCGGACCACCACCCUGAGGGCCUGUGAGCUCAUCCCUCAGGCUGCCCUGCUCUUUAGACAUUUUUGUACGUCCCACCCUCCUCCCCCUUGCUUGCAGCUUUUGCUGUUUGGGGCACACCCGUGAUAUGCAGUGCAGUUCGGCAUCACACUUCUCAUUCCCUGUGGGAGAUCAUGAAUGUUAUCCUCACCAAGUACUACCUGGGUUCCUCCAUUAACAGCAAUGAAAAUAAUUUGGGAGAACAUAAGCCCAUCGAAUGCUGUUGCUGUCCUAUGCAUUGCACCAAAUGAGGAGAAGCCCGGUGAGCUCCAUCGUUUGUCACACGGAAGCAUAACACAGUAGCGGGGUUGCCGGCAUCUGGAGUUGGUGGCAGUAGACGGUGUGGCAGCAACCAGGGCACUGAGACCUGGGACCAGGGCGCACAUUUCACGGGUCUCUGUGCAGGUGAUUUGGCUGGGUUUUCCUUUAGCUUGAGGGCUUCGGGAGGGAGCAGCUGCGUGCAUCUUCUCCACAGGGAACCCCGGGGACCUGUGCUUGGCACAGGUAACCUGCCUAAGGCUGACUGAGGAGGACCUAACUCCGGCCCUGUGACCUCCUGGGGUGGCAGCAGCUCGGAGGCGGCUCCUCCCUAAUUCACAGGGAAGUGCUGCAGGCCGAGGUUGCUUCCGGACUGCGGACUGCGCUUGAGAGGCUGGACGUGGAACAGUGUCCUCUCUGUCCUCCUGAGUGUUAGAAAUCCUUCGAGGCCCUAGUUUGAUUUAUCUGACAGCUGCACUCUGUCUUCACAUGGACUGUCAGGAGGCUUAGAAUUGGGUCGGAGCCACAAGUUUCCUGGCCUCUUUGAGUAUGGUUGUGACACCUUGCAAACUGAUGAAUUUGAGGACACAGCGCUGCCUCGACUGAGUCCGCCUACUUUGGGGGUUUUAGAAGUUCAGAUUCAUUCCACAAAUUUGACUGAAGAUGCUGCUGUGUGCCAGGCACAUGGCCAGGGUGACAGGCGGGGCUCCCAUGCUGAUUAGGGAGCAGGCACAGGCAUCUCUAGGUGAACAACUAAGCAAGGUGACUGCAGCUGGGACAAGUGCCAGACAAGAAGGAAGCACGAUGCUGGCCUGGAGUUGGGGUGUGUUGGGGGAGGGGGUUCUUCAGGCAGAGAGAGCAGGGAAGUCAGCGAACAGAGUUAAUUCACACGGUGCAAAUUAAGCCUUCAUCUUGGUGCCUGACACACAGUAAAGCCCUAACUCGCUAUCACUGCUACGGCUGUUAUUGGUGUCGUCAUCUCUCCGUUAUGUGUGCUUCUGCUGGGCGAAGGCAAGGGGAAUACAUUGCCGGAAUUCCAGGAAACGAUGAAGACUUUGCAAAGGUCCCAGCAGUGGAGGGGUGGAGAACUCCAUGCCCUAAGGUGUCUCCUCUCUUCCUUCUCUGGCGGUACCGAGGGGCUUGGUGGUCCAUCGUACGUGGGCACUCUCUGUCCAAACCAGCAUCUCCAAGCCUUAAUUUGCUGCAACGGCCCAAGAUUUAAACGUCUACAUUUUCCUGGUUGGUAUUGUAGUGCAAAUAUCGAUUCCUUUCUGUGCAAGUCCUGACUUCACGUGGGGGCAGUGACUAGUGAACGGCCCGUCCUCGCGGAGUAAAUAUGCCGUGUACAGCAGUCGUUGAACGAUUACCGUGCAGCCCAGCUGUCUUAACGCUAAGAGUGCCCGCUUUGCUUCUGGGAUGGUCACGUGUGUGAGUGGAGUGGCUUCAGAAACAGGGGCUU
rnacentral:lncRNA from 1 species